UCCAUUGAGUGGCCUCUGAUAUCCAUUUCUGUUUUAGGAGAUUGGUGUAAAUCCAUCUAUUGGUAUCCGAUAUCCGCUUUUGUUUGUGAGAUUGGAGUAAGACCAUUGAGUGGCAUCCGGUAUCAUUUGCUUGCUUACAUUAUUAUUGCUCAUUGCUUAUUCCAAAGGACACACUUGAAUCAUCUCCUAUAUGAUUUCAAGAGGUGAACCUUCUAAGAGGUUUUACAAUCCAUCUUCAUCCAUUCAUUCCAUUAUGUCCUAAACCUUUUCACACUUUGAUUUCAAACUUGACAGAUAUUGUGCAAACAUCUUCAUGUUUUCAAAUUAAAAACCUGGACCCGAAGUCCUUGACUUUUUUUUCAAACUCCAUUUCAUAAUACUUCUUUGAAUAAAUCUUAAUCAUACUUUGACUCCACUUUCAUAAUCAUAAUCAACUAACUUCACCCAUUCAAUUGUUUUGGCUUUGUCCAUUGUUAAUCUUUUCACACAUUAGCCAUAGGUUUCAAUUAUCAUUGUGGUUGAUGUAAACCUCACCCUAUCCUUAGUGAGUCGACUAUAAGACUUCCGUACUGAAAACAGGGUUAACCCCUCUAGUACGUCGAAGCUAUCCUCGCAUGGUGGAUGUUGGUCUUGGUCGAGUUUUCUCCCAUUGAUAAUGAAAAGCCUCAGUGCUAUUGUUUAAAAUUGAAUCCACCCACUUUUGGAAAUCUUUUAGCCGAACUACGGCGUUUUGAUCCUUACCUUUGAUGGAAGGUA
rnacentral:lncRNA from 1 species